rnacentral:misc_RNA from 1 species
UUUCCGUAGGUGAACCUGCGGAAGGAUCAUUAGUGAAUUGAAUAUGUUAGCGGACCUCUUCGGAGUCCCUAGCAUCAAAUCAUAUCCAUAACACCUGUGAACUGUAAGGCUGUCCUGAGAACGAAAGUGAUUAGAGCGCCUGCCCAUUUUAUACAAACAUUAAAGUGACAAACGUAGUCUUAUUAUAAUCUAAUAAAACUUUCAACAACGGAUCUCUUGGCUCUC